AUGAUACAGUUGCCAACCAUCUGUGGACAUGAUACAGGUUUAAGGGGGUCAACGCUUCAGGUGAUGGGGAUAUCUGUUGAGGAAGGUGAGUGGGCUAUUGUUGGUGGGACAGGACAGUUCGCAAUGGCAAACGGUGUCAUAUACAAAAAGUUCCAUGAGCAGAGGAGCGAUGGUAACAUCAUAGAACUCACUGUCCACGCGUUCUGUCCCGUGCUGAAUGGCUCGCCGAGCCUUCUCACAAAGCUUGGACCAUGGGGUGGAAGUGGAGGGUCGGAUAAAGACAUCGUUGAGGCACCAAGGCGUCUAGAGAGCAUCACAGUUAGCAGCGGCUUGAUUGUUGAUUCAAUCAAAUUUUCUUAUGUUGACCAAGCUGGCCAGAAGCACACAGGUGGACCCUGGGGAGGAUCCGGAGGAAAUCAAAACACGAUCGUACUCGGGGCUUCUGAGUUUGUGAAGGAAGUCUCUGGGACACACGGCAUUUUUGACAAAGACCAACACCACAUAAUAACGUCACUGAAAUUCAUCACCAAUGUGAAGGCUUAUGGGCCUUUCGGAGAAGCAAAGGGAACCCCUUUCACCAUACCUGCGGAAAAGAAUAGCAGCAUAGUGGGCUUUUUCGGGCGUAGUGGGAUAUAUCUCGAUGCGCUUGGUGUCUACGUGUCCAACUCUAGCUAA
rnacentral:rRNA from 1 species